AGUGAACGCUGGCGGCGUGCCUAAUACAUGCAAGUCGAACGAAGUGGCGCACGGGUGAGUAAUAUAUAGUUAAUCUGCCCUACACAGAGGAACAACAGUUGGAAACGACUGCUAAUACCUCCAAGUAUAGGAGGAGACUACAUAGUAUCCGCUAGUUGGUAAGGUAAUGGCUUACCAAGGCUAUGACGCGUAACUGGUCUGAGAGGAUGAUCAGUCAGAUUGGAACUGAUACACGGUCCAAACGCCUACGGGAGGCAGCAGUAAGGAAUAUGGCGGAAUGGGGGAAAACCUGCCGCAGAAACGCCGCGUGGAGGAUGACACUUUUCGGAGCGUAAUCUCCUUUUAUCAGGAAAGCGGUACCUGAUGAAUAAGCAGGGGCUAACUCCGUGCCAGCCGCCGCAGUAAUAC
rnacentral:rRNA from 1 species